rnacentral:tRNA from 1 species
GAGGGUAUAGCUCAGUGGUGGAGUGCGUGCUUAGCAUGCACACGGUCCUGGGUUCAAUCCACAAUACCUCUA